rnacentral:rRNA from 1 species
AGAGUUUGAUCCUGGCUCAGGAUGAACGCUGGCGGCGUGCCUAACACAUGCAAGUCGAGCGAUCUUCUUCGGAAGAGAGCGGCGGACGGGUGAGUAACGCGUGGGUAACCUGCCUCAUACACAUGGAUAACAUACCGAAAGGUAUGCUAAUACAAGAUGAUAUAAGAGAUUCGCAUGGAUUCUUAUCAAAGCUUUUGCGGUAUGAGAUGGACCCGCGUCUGAUUAGCUAGUUGGUAAGGUAAAUGGCUUACCAAGGCGACGAUCAGUAGCCGACCUGAGAGGGUGAUCGGCCACAUUGGAACUGAGACACGGUCCAAACUCCUACGGGAGGCAGCAGUGGGGAAUAUUGCACAAUGGGCGAAAGCCUGAUGCAGCAACGCCGCGUGAGCGAUGAAGGCCUUCGGGUCGUAAAGCUCUGUCCUCAAGGAAGAUAAUGACGGUACUUGAGGAGGAAGCCCCGGCUAACUACGUG